UGAGGGCCCUUCAACACAUCGCGCGUCGAGCGGGGGAUGGUAGCGGGCACUGGACCUAGCGGCGGACGGGUGAGAAAGGCUUAGGAAUCUGCCUAUGAGUGGGGGACAACAUCCCUUAAAGGGAUGCUAAUACCGCAUACGUCCUACGGGAGAAAGCAGGGGAUCUUCGGACCUUGCGCUAAUAGAUGAGCCUAAGUCGGAUUAGCUAGUUGGUGGGGUAAAGGCCUACCAAGGCGACGAUCUGUAGCGGGUCUGAGAGGAUGAUCCGCCACACUGGGACUGAGACACGGCCCAGACUCAUACGGGAGGCAGCAGUGGGGAAUAUUGGACAAUGGGGGGAACCCUGAUCCAGCCAUGCCGCGUGUGUGAAGAAGGCCUUAUGGUUGUAAAGCACUUUAAGCGAGGAGGAGGCUACUUUAGUUAAUACCUAGAGAUAGUGGACGUUACUCGCAGAAUAAGCACCGGCUAACUCUGUGCCAGCAGCCGCGGUAAUACAGAGGGUGCGAGCGUUAAUCGGAUUUACUGGGCGUAAAGCGUGCGUAGGCGGCUUAUUAAGUCGGAUGUGAAAUCCCCGAGCUUAACUUGGGAAUUGCAUUCGAUACUGGUGAGCUAGAGUAUGGGAGAGGAUGGUAGAAUUCCAGGUGUAGCGGUGAAAUGCGUAGAGAUCUGGAGGAAUACCGAUGGCGAAGGCAGCCAUCUGGCCUAAUACUGACGCUGAGGUACGAAAGCAUGGGGAGCAAACAGGAUUAGAUACCCUGGUAGUCCAUGCCGUAAACGAUGUCUACUAGCCGUUGGGGCCUUUGAGGCUUUAGUGGCGCAGCUAACGCGAUAAGUAGACCGCCUGGGGAGUACGGUCGCAAGACUAAAACUCAAAUGAAUUGACGGGGGCCCGCACAAGCGGUGGAGCAUGUGGUUUAAUUCGAUGCAACGCGAAGAACCUUACCUGGCCUUGACAUACUAGAAACUUUCCAAAGAUGGAUUGGUGCCUUCGGGAAUCUAGAUACAGGUGCUGCAUGGCUGUCGUCAGCUCGUGUCGUGAGAUGUUGGGUUAAGUCCCGCAACGAGCGCAACCCUUUUCCUUACUUGCCAGCAUUUCGGAUGGGAACUUUAAGGAUACUGCCAGUGACAAACUGGAGGAAGGCGGGGACGACGUCAAGUCAUCAUGGCCCUUACGGCCAGGGCUACACACGUGCUACAAUGGUCGGUACAAAGGGUUGCUACACAGCGAUGUGAUGCUAAUCUCAAAAAGCCGAUCGUAGUCCGGAUUGGAGUCUGCAACUCGACUCCAUGAAGUCGGAAUCGCUAGUAAUCGCGGAUCAGAAUGCCGCGGUGAAUACGUUCCCGGGCCUUGUACACACCGCCCGUCACACCAUGGGAGUUUGUUGCACCAGAAGUAGCUAGCCUAACUGCAAAGAGGGCGGUUACCUACUGUUGGCCCGAGGGGA
rnacentral:rRNA from 1 species